AAACAAAAGCAAAAGCAUUUGCCCAGAAUGUUUUCAUUAAUCAAGAUUCGCAUGAGAUGCUGAGCAGCUUCCGGGAAACCAAAGUCUUUGGGUUCCCUGGGGGAGUAUGCUUGCAAGCUGAAACUUUAAAAAAUGUAUGGAAUGGCACCACCAGGAGUGUAGCCCGUGGCUUAAUUUGACUCAACAUGGGAAACCUCACCCAACCCAUACACGGAAAGGAUUGACGGAUGGAUAUCUCUUACUCAGUUCUGUGGGUGGUGGUGCAUGGUCGGUCUGAGUUGGUGGAGCGAUUUGUCUGGUUAACUCUGAUAAGAAAUUAGGCUCCUCCAUGCAUACGGUUUAGGUGACUCCCAGCAGACAGUUUUAAAAUUCUUAGCGGGAGGUGUUUACCAACAUGAGACCAAGCAAUGAAAGGUCUGUGAUGCCCUUAGAUGUCUGGGGCUGCACUCAUGCUACACAGAAUGGAUCAGCAUGUGUCAACCCACAGUUAACCUGCUGAAUUCCCAAUAAGUAUGAGUCAUAAUCCUAUGGUGAUUAGUCCUGCUCUUUGUACACACCGCCUGUCGCUACUUGGAUUGGUUAGUGAGGUCCUCAGAUUGGCCCGCUGGGGUAGCAACAGCCCUGGCAGAGCACCAAGCAGAUGAUCAAACUUGACUAUCUUGAUUAUAAGUCGAAACACGGUUUCCGUAGGUGAAUCUUCAGAAUGAUCAUGAAUGGUGGAGCAGCCAGAGGUAGAACAGCGAACCCGACCUCAGUUGCAUCUCAGACCCCUCGCAUUAUGGUCUUACCAGUGGAGCUGGCCGCAGCCGGUGUACGUGGGGGACAAGGCACCAGGGAGCAAGAUCCCUCCUACCAGAGGGGUAUGUGACCCAGCAGACAAACAGCAGACACAGGCAGACGUGGACUGACGUCUGGGUAAUAAGGGAGUCUGUGACUCUUGACAGUAGGAUCACUUAGCUUGCAUGCCUAUGAAUUAGUGUGAAUUGCAGGACACUUGAUCACUGACACUUCAAACGCACCUCCCGGGGCUAUGCCUGUCUGAGGGUUGCUUGAACAUCAAUUGCCCUAGGGACUCUCCCAGUGCGCAGCUGCGGCCAUCACAGUGACCCCAUUCUCGUAGUCCCCUAAGGUCAGACACUGACCAGCACUGUCGCAGGAUCCCUGGACCUGGUGCAGAGACUUGCUGCUAGCGCGUCCUGGCCUCCCCGUUUCCCCAUCUUGUGGGGUUUGUAUGGGUCAGGGCACGGCAUGGCCCGGUGGCUGUGGUGGUGGCAGUGGUCUAAGAACCCAACGCACCUUCCUCUACCCGGGGCAGCUGUCUGUGCUGUGUGUGGCUCUCUGUGGUGUCCCAUGGCUGCCUUCUUGGGACACCCUGGAGUGCAGACCUUGGGACCGUGUCCAGCAGGCAACCUCUUACCAAGCAGGCUUCUGCACAGACAGGGACAGCGCACACUCGGCUGCCACCAAAUGGAGCUACUGAGAUCUUGGUGGCAGUAGUAAAUAUUCAAACAAGAGCUUUCAAGGCCAAAGCAGGUAAGGUUUCCAUGUGAACAGCAGUUGAACAUGGGUCAAAUGGUCCAAAGAGAUGGGCAAGAACUGUUCAUAAGGGACAGGCAAUAGCCUCCAUUGCCCUCAGCCAAUCAAAUGGGAGUUGGAUAUGGAUCCCCAAACAGAGCGUGGUGUGGAUGGGCGCCCUCGCAGUAUCCGGUGCAGUAACGCAAAUGAUCCUGGAGAAACCUGUGAGAGCCCCAGGGAGGGUUCUCAUUUCUUUGUGAAGGGCAGGGCAGCCGGGCAUGAGUUUGUCCCAAGAGAGCACUCGCUGGUCCUUAAAAACAUACUCAUAUCCACAGCAGGUCUCCAGGUUGCACAGCCUCUAGCAUGUUGGAACAAUGUAGGUAAGUGAAGACGAAUAGUCAGAUUGGUAACUUCAGCAUGAGGAUUGGAUCCAAAGGCUGGGUCAGUGGGGCUGUGGCGCGCAGCAGGGCUGGGGUGUGGCACUGCUGGAUUAGGUGUCUCCCUCCUGGGGCUGUGCUGACUUUGGACGUGAGCCGGGCCCUUCCUGUGGAUGGCCCCAGCUUUGGUGGUGGCCUCUCUCCGUCCCCUCCCGGGGUAUGAGUCGGUGUUCUUCCUCGGCCGAGGCCUAGCGGGCUGACUUAGAACUGGUGCAGACCAGGGAAAUCUGACUGUUUAAUUUCAACAAAGCAUUGUGAAGGACCAUGGCAGGUGUUAACCAAUGUGAUUUAUGUCCAUUGCUCUGAACAUCAAAGUGAAAUAAUUCAAUGCAGCGCUGGUAAACGGCAACUGUUCUUAUGAGUCUCUUAAAGUAGCCAAAUGCCUCGUCAUCUAAUUAGUGACAUGCAUGAAUGGAUGAUCAAGAUUCCCACUGUCCCUACCUACUAUCUAGCUAAAACACAGCCAAGAGUACAGGCUUGGCAGAAUCAGCAAGGAAAGGAGACCCUGUCGAACUUGACUCUAGUGUGGCACUGUGAAGUGAAGUGAGAGGUGUAGGAUAAGUAGGAGGCCUUCAGGCCACAGGUGAAAUACCACUACUCAUAUUGUUUAUUUCACUUACGCCUCAUGGAGCUCUCACUUCUGGCUGCAAACGACAGGCACCUGCCGGGCACAAUCUGCUCUGGGGACAGUGGCAGGUGGGGUGUGUUACUGGGGCGGUACACCUGUCAAACGAUAAUGCAGGUGUACUAAGGAAAGCUCAGGGAGAACAGAAACCUCUGGCGAAGCUGAAGGGCAAAAGCUCCCUUGAUUUCGAUUUUCUAUAUGAAUACAACCAUGAAAGCAGGGCCUCACAAUUCUUCAGACAUUUUGGGUUCAAGCAGGACGUGUCCGAAUAGUUGCCACAAGCCAGUCAUCCCUGUGGCAACUAUUCAGACACGUCUUGACUGGCUUGUGGACGCAAAGCAUUCAUAGUGAAGUUGCUCUUUUGAUCCUUCGAUGUCGGGCAUCAUUGUGAAGCAGAAUUCACCAAGCUUUGGUUCGUUCACCCACUUAUGAGGAAUGUGAGAUAGGUUUACACGUCAUGAGACAGGUUGGUUUUACCUUACUGAUGAUUUGUAGUUGCAAUGCUAAUCCUGCUCAGUAUGAGAGGAACCGCAGGUUCAGACUUUGGUGUAUAUGCUUGGCUGAGGAGCCAAUGGGGUGAAGCUACCAUCUGUGGAAGUGUGACUGAAGGCCUCUAAUUCAGUAUCCCCUCUAAACCGUAAUGAUACUGCAGCUCUGUGGAGUUUCAGUUGCAUAGGAUGGCCGGCCUGUGGGCCAGUGUGUAGAACCGCUUGCUUUGGGACUCGACUGUGGACAUAAGGGGGCUACCUCUCUCACCCAUAGUGCACUGCAUGUUUGUGGGGAACCUGGUGCUAAAUCAUUCAUAGACUACCUGGUUCUGGGUCAGAGUUUUGUAAAUAGCAGAGAGCUGUC
rnacentral:rRNA from 1 species